rnacentral:rRNA from 1 species
AAGGCCUUCGGGUUGUAAAGUACUUUCAGCGGGGAGGAAGGGAGUAAAGUUAAUACCUUUGCUCAUUGACGUUACCCGCAGAAGAAGCACCGGCUAACUCCGUGCCAGCAGCCGCGGUAAUACGGAGGGUGCAAGCGUUAAUCGGAAUUACUGGGCGUAAAGCGCACGCAGGCGGUUUGUUAAGUCAGAUGUGAAAUCCCCGGGCUCAACCUGGGAGCUGCAUCUGAUACUGGCAAGCUUGAGUCUCGUAGAGGGGGGUAGAAUUCCAGGUGUAGCGGUGAAAUGCGUAGAGAUCUGGAGGAAUACCGGUGGCGAAGGCGGCCCCCUGGACGAAGACUGACGCUCAGGUGCGAAAGCGUGGGGAGCAAACAGGAUUAGAUACCCUGGUAGUCCACGCCGUAAACGAUGUCGACUUGGAGGUUGUGCCCUUGAGGCGUGGCUUCCGGAGCUAACGCGUUAAGUCGACCGCCUGGGGAGUACGGCCGCAAGGUUAAAACUCAAAUGAAUUGACGGGGGCCCGCACAAGCGGUGGAGCAUGUGGUUUAAUUCGAUGCAACGCGAAGAACCUUACCUGGUCUUGACAUCCACGGAAGUUUUCAGAGAUGAGAAUGUGCCUUCGGGAACCGUGAGACAGGUGCUGCAUGGCUGUCGUCAGCUCGUGUUGUGAAAUGUUGGGUUAAGUCCCGCAACGAGCGCAACCCUUAUCCUUUGUUGCCAGCGGUCCGGCCGGGAACUCAAAGGAGACUGCCAGUGAUAAACUGGAGGAAGGCGGGGAUGACGUCAAGUCAUCAUGGCCCUUACGACCAGGGCUACACACGUGCUACAAUGGCGCAUACAAAGAGAAGCGACCUCGCGAGAGCAAGCGGACCUCAUAAAGUGCGUCGUAGUCCGGAUUGGAGUCUGCAACUCGACUCCAUGAAGUCGGAAUCGCUAGUAAUCGUGGAUCAGAAUGCCACGGUGAAUACGUUCCCGGGCCUUGUACACACCGCCCGUCACACCAUGGGAGUGGGUUGCAAAAGAAGUAGGUAGCUUAACCUUCGGGAGGGCGCUUACCACUUUGUGAUUCAUGACUGGGGUGAAGUCGUAACAAGGUAACCGUAGGGGAACCUGCGGUUGGAUCACCU